AUUGAACGCUGGCGGCAUGCUUUACACAUGCAAGUCGAACGGCAGCGCGGGCUUCGGCCUGGCGGCGCGUGGCGAACGGGUGAGUAAUGCAUCGGAACGUGCCCAGUAGUGGGGGAUAGCACGGCGAAAGCCGGAUUAAUACCGCAUACGACCUGAGGGUGAAAGCGGGGGACCGAAAGGCCUCGCGCUAUUUGAUCGGCCGAUGCCGGAUUAGCUAGUUGGUGGGGUAAAGGCUUACCAAGGCGACGAUCCGUAGCUGGUCUGAGAGGGCGACCAGCCACACUGGGACUGAGACACGGCCCAGACUCCUACGGGAGGCAGCAGUGGGGAAUUUUGGACAAUGGGGGCAACCCUGAUCCAGCCAUGCCGCGUGCGGGAAGAAGGCCUUCGGGUUGUAAAACGCUUUUGUUCGGGAAGAAAACCUCUGGGCUAAUACCCCGGGGGGAUGACGGUACCGGAAGAAUAAGCACCGGCUAACUACGUG
rnacentral:rRNA from 1 species